rnacentral:sRNA from 1 species
UAAAAAGUUAAACUCGUAAAAGGCUUUGCCAAACUUAGAAAAUAAAUGAUGUUUUGUGAAUGACAACAUAGUGAAUCCGUGACAUGAGGCCUUGAUGUUUAUAUAUAAAGAAAGCUGCUGGUCCAAGAAAGUGAAUCUGUUGUUUUUCUCAUCAAAUGUUUCAGUCAAGUCAUAAGGUUUAUCUCAGAGGAGUGAAUCUGAGAACACAAAGCUGGUUUGCAGUUCAUAUCAUCAUUUGUUGGUAUUUUGGUGAAUUUACUUUGUGUUCUCAGGUCACCCCUUUGAGCCAACCUGUUGACAUUCACCAAAAGGAAAAUUAAGGACAAUGGAAAGUUAAAAUACAAAUGUAAGCAAUUUUCAACAAGUUCUUCUCUUGAAAAAGAAAAAAAUGCUGGGAAGAAAUUAAGUUGUCUCAAUUCUAAAGCUUAAGUGCUUAAUAAUUGAUGUGGCAAUGUUGGUGGAAGGCAUUUCAAGUACAAAGAAAGCAUAAAGUUGAAGAUGAUUUUUUUCUUUCCUGGUGUAUUGUAAAUGUUUCAUCUCAAAAUAAUAUAAUUUAAAUAAGAUAUGAAUAAUAGGAUUGAGAUAGUAUUUCUAUCAUUCAUUUUUAGUUCAAUAUUAACUAACCAUUUGUGUGAUAUUCAUUGAUAAAGAAAUAUUUUGUAUCAUAAAGGAGGAAAAAAAAGAUACCAAUCUUGUGUACCAAAAUCUUUCUUGCUUUUAGUUUAAGUUAAAUCCUCCUUUAACGUUUAUUCAAAGAUGCUAUAAAUAUAGUCUAUUUGUGUAUAGAAGGAGACCACGU